GUCGACACUUCCACGACGGUCUCCGUGAUCACAUCAGGCCUCAUGGCAGCAUGGACAAAUUCUGGGGUCGACACACAGGGGGGCACGAAUACCUGGACUGCACAACGGAGCUGCUGCAAGUCACCAGGAGUCGAAUUCUUGUUUGGUGAAAGGGCUUCAAAAACUUUAGCAAGUAUCAUCUCAGAAACACUCCGUACUUCAAGACUACAGAUGCAAAUCAGGAAAUGUGCCCAACAGAUGACAUCUGAUUUUUGUUUUAUAUACUUCUAAAUCCAUCAGCACCCUCAAGUGUCGCGGAAGCUUCCAGCAAAACUUUUUUAUUACGUUCUUCCCUAUCAAUGAGAUCUGUGUCCCCGCCACAGGACCUGCUAUUGUAAAGCGAGCAGCCGUAAGCUGGCACCCAAUUAAAGUGUCAGAACUCAACCAGCAUUUACGCAGUCAGAAAUCCAACUCGGCUGCACGGGUAAAGGCUGGUUGAAGAAUCCAUAUGGAGUAAUGCCUCUGCUGCCUCAAUCGUCUUAUCUGUACAGUGGACAUGACUGCUAUGGACAGAUGCUUCGACUGUGAAAUUAAGAAAACAAGCUACAUAAAUGACUGACAAGUUGGGAAACAGAACAAAUGGCUCUGAGGCAUCUUCUUGAGGGAGCAUACUAAAUAUGGACUGCUUCCUGCUAACUCUGCAUGGCGAAAGCAGAAGAACGAGAAAUUUUCCAACACUGAUAUUUUUCACCUUGCAAAGUACCAAGGAAGACAAAACUAAAAAGUUAAGGAUCUUCCGUAGAUAUGUGCCAUCAACAACUGAGAAUGAAUGAAUUGGCUCCUGUAAAAAGAAGUUCGCCAUUAAAUCUUGUGCAACUGUCCUGGUUUGGAGCAGUCAAUUAAUAGACACAAACUGGAAAUCUGUAUGUAAUGCUACACCACAAAACAGAUAAUUGUACAAAACACGUGAUCCAUGUUAUCUGUGAAGAAACCUCUCCCAGAAUUGUUGCAUACAAGUACCAUUUAUGCUCCCUCCCAUUGCCUAGUGCAAGCACAGUAUCCAACACUUUCAAAGCAGAGAAAAAUCUCAGUAUUGCACAGCAGCCAUGAAUUUAUUUUUCAAUUUUUGCACAGCAGCCUUGCCGCACAAUAAUUCAGAAAUAAAUAAAUUCAAUAAUAAAUAAAGCAGACUUUAAACAUUGCUCCAUGGCUAGAAUGCUGCCAGAAAAUGUACUGACACAUACUGACACAUGUCAA